AGAGUUUGAUCCUGGCUCAGAAUGAACGCUGGCGGCGUGCUUAACACAUGCAAGUCGAACGAGAAAGUCCCUUCGGGGGCGAGUACAGUGGCGGACGGGUGAGUAACACGUAAGAAUCUACCCUUUGGUGAAGAAUACCUUCGAGAAAUCGAAGUUAAUACUGCAUAAGUCGUUAAUCAGAGAUGAUUAAUGAGAAAGACGGCCUCUUGCUGUCGCCGAAGGAUGAGCUUGCGGACUAUUAGCUUGUUGGUGGGGUAAAAGCCUACCAAGGCGAUUAUGGUUAACCGGCCUGAGAGGGUGGACGGUCACAUUGGAACUGAGAUACGGUCCAGACUCCUACGGGAGGCAGCAGUGGGGAAUAUUGCACAAUGGGCGCAAGCCUGAUGCAGCGACGCCGCGUGGGGGAUGAAGGCUUUCGAGUCGUAAACUCCUGUUAAGAGGGAAGAAAAGCUAUUAACUAAUAAUUAGUAGUCAUGACGGUACCUCUAGAGAAAGCACCGGCUAACUUCGUGCCAGCAGCCGCGGUAAUACGAAGGGUGCUAGCGUUAUUCGGAAUUACUGGGCGUAAAGAGUGUGAAGGUGGUUAUUUAAGUCAGUUGUUAAAGAUCACGGCCUACCCGUGAAAAUGCGAUUGAUACUGGGUAACUAGAGGAUGGAAGAGAGAAGUGGAAUUGUCGGAGUAGCGGUAAAAUGCGUAGA
rnacentral:rRNA from 1 species